GGGGAAUAUUGCACAAUGGGCGAAAGCCUGAUGCAGCGACGCCGCGUGCGGGAUGAAGGCCUUCGGUUGUAAACCGCUUUUAAUUGGGAGCAAGCGAGAGUGAGUGUACCUUUUGAAUAAGCACCGGCUAACUACGUGCCAGCAGCCGCGGUAAUACGUAGGGUGCAAGCGUUAUCCGGAAUUAUUGGGCGUAAAGAGCUCGUAGGCGGUUUGUCACGCCUGGUGUGAAAGUCCAUCGCUUAACGGUGGAUCUGCGCCGGGUACGGGGCAGGCUAGAGUGCAGUAGGGGAGAUUGGAAU
rnacentral:rRNA from 1 species